rnacentral:rRNA from 1 species
CGCGUGAGAAUCUGCCUCGAGGAUGGGGACAACAGUUGGAAACGACUGCUAAUACCCAAUAUGCAGCAAUGUGAAAUAUAUUUUGCCUUGAGAGGAGCUCGCGUCCGAUUAGUUAGUUGGUGGUGUAAUGGACUACCAAGGCAGCGAUCGGUAGCUGGUCUGAGAGGAUGAGCAGCCACACUGGGACUGAGACACGGCCCAGACUCCUACGGGAGGCAGCAGUGGGGAAUUUUCCGCAAUGGGCGAAAGCCUGACGGAGCAAUACCGCGUGAGGGAGGAAGGCUUUUGGGUUGUAAACCU